rnacentral:rRNA from 1 species
AUCGAUGAAGAACGCAGCGAAAUGCGAUAAGUAAUGUGAAUUGCAGAAUUCAGUGAAUCAUCGAAUCUUUGAACGCACAUUGCGCCCCGUGGUAUUCCGCGGGGCAUGCCUGUUCGAGCGUCAUUUAAACCAAUCCAGCUUGCUGGGUCUUGGGCUUCGCCUCCGGGCGGGCCUUAAAAUCAGUGGCGGCGCCUGUCGGCUCUAAGCGUAGUAAUACUCCUCGCUACAGAGUCCGGUGGGAUGCUUGCCAACAACCCCCAAUUUUAUCAGGUUGACCUCGGAUCAGGUAGGGAUACCCGCUGAACUUAAGCAUAUCAAUAAGCGGAGGAAAAGAAACCAACAGGGAUUACCUCAGUAACGGCGAGUGAAGCGGUAACAGCUCAAAUUUGAAAUCUGGCUCUUUCAGGGUCCGAGUUGUAAUUUGUAGAAGAUGCUUCGGGUGUGGCUCCGGUCUAAGUUCCUUGGAACAGGACGUCAUAGAGGGUGAGAAUCCCGUAUGUGACUGGUUGCCUUCGCCCAUGUGAAGCUCUUUCGACGAGUCGAGUUGUUUGGGAAUGCAGCUCUAAAUGGGUGGUAAAUUUCAUCUAAAGCUAAAUAUUGGCCAGAGACCGAUAGCGCACAAGUAGAGUGAUCGAAAGAUGAAAAGCACUUUGGAAAGAGAGUUAAACAGUACGUGAAAUUGUUGAAAGGGAAGCGCUUGCAACCAGACUUGCACCCCGUCGAUCAUCCUCCGUUCUCGGGGGUGCACUCGGCGGGGUUCAGGCCAGCAUCGGUUUCGGUGGUGGGAUAAAGGCCUUGGGAACGUAGCUCCUCUCGGGGAGUGUUAUAGCCCUCGGUGCAAUGCCGCCUACCGGGACCGAGGACCGCGCUUCGGCUAGGAUGCUGGCGUAAUGGUUGUAAGCGACCCGUCUUGAAACACG